rnacentral:rRNA from 1 species
GACGAACGCUGGCGGCGUGCUUAACACAUGCAAGCGGUGCGACGAACCAGGCUUCGGCCUGGGGCAGAGCCGCGAACGGGUGAGUAACACGUGGGCAACCUGCCCUGUUGAUCGGGACAACCCGGGGAAACCCGGGCUAAUCCGAAUGUGGUGCCGGCUCAUGAGAGCCGUCACGAAAGGAAGCUUCGGCCUCCGCGACAGGAUGGGCCCGCGGCCCAUUAGCUUGUUGGUGGGGUAAUGGCCUACCAAGGCAACGAUGGGUAGCUGGUCUGGGAGGACGAUCAGCCACACUGGGACUGAGACACGGCCCAGACUCCUACGGGAGGCUGCAGUGGGGAAUAUUGCACAAUGGGCGCAAGCCUGAUGCAGCGACGCCGCGUGAGGGAUGACGGCCUUCGGGUUGUAAACCUCUUUCAGCAUCGACGAAGCGAAAGUGACGGUAGGUGCAGAAGAAGGACCGGCCAACUACGUGCCAGCCGCCGCCGUAA